rnacentral:pre_miRNA from 1 species
AAAAAGGCAAACCGUGGGUUCCCGUGCCAACGUUUGACUGUCCGUCUUAUAUGAAAUUUUUUUAUAAUUAGUAUUUUCAUUGUUGUUAGAUGAUAAAACAUGAUUAAUACUUUAUGCGUGACUUAUAUUUUUAAUUUUUUUCAUAAUUUUUUCAAAUAAGACGGACGGUCAAACGUUGGACACGGAAACCAGGGUUUGUCUUUUU